rnacentral:rRNA from 1 species
UACGGAGGGUGCAAGCGUUAUCCGGAUUCACUGGGUUUAAAGGGUGCGUAGGAGGGUAGGUAAGUCAGUGGUGAAAUCUCCGGGCUCAACUCGGAAACUGCCGUUGAUACUAUCUGUCUUGGAUGCCGUGGAGGUGAGCGGAAUAUGUCAUGUAGCGGUGAAAUGCUUAGAUAUGACAUAGAACACCAAUUGCGAAGGCAGCUCACUACACGAACAUUGACUCUGAGGCACGAAAGCGUGGGGAUCAAACAGG